ANCUGAGCGAAAGCAUUAAGUGACCCACCUGGGGAGUACGACCGCAAGGUUGAAACUCAAAGGAAUUGACGGGGGCCCGCACAAGCGGAGGAACAUGUGGUUUAAUUCGAUGAUACGCGAGGAACCUUACCUGGGCUUAAAUGUAGAACGACGGACCGGGAAACUGGUCUUUCUUCGGACGGUCUGCAAGGUGCUGCAUGGCUGUCGUCAGCUCGUGCCGUGAGGUGUCGGGUUAAGUCCCAUAACGAGCGCAACCCUCAUCAUUAGUUGCCAACGGGUAAUGCCGGGGACUCUAAUGAAACUGCCGGGUGUAAACCGAGAGGAAGGUGGGGAUGACGUCAAGUCAGCACGGCCCUUAUGUCCAGGGCUACACACGUGUUACAAUGGUCGGUACAAAGGGCAGCUACCUGGCGACAGGAUGCUAAUCUCGAAAACCGAUCUCAGUUCGGAUCGAAGUCUGCAACUCGACUUCGUGAAGCUGGAUUCGCUAGUAAUCGCGCAUCACCCAUGGCGCGGUGAAUACGUUCCCGGGCCUUGUACACACCGCCCGUCAAGCCAUGGAAGCUGGGGGUACCUGAAGUCCGUAACCGCAAGGAG
rnacentral:rRNA from 1 species